UGUGUGUGUGUGUGUGUAUGUGUGUGAUUUUGUGUGUGUAUGUGUAUGAUGGUAGUGACUUGCCAUAGGGUUGUGUUUUCUGACUUUUAGUUAAUGUUAUGCUUUAUUAUUUUUCAUGUAUUAGAACAUUUAUUAUUUGC